CUACGGGGGGCAGCAGUGAGGAAUUUUGCGCAAUGGGGGCAACCCUGACGCAGCAACGCCGCGUGAGUGAAGAAGGCCUUUGGGUCGUAAAACUCUGUCAAUGGGGAAGAAGUUACUAUGUUUAAAUAGUUUGUAGUAUUGACGGUACCCAUGAAGGAAGCACCGGCUAACUCCGUGCCAGCAGCCGCGGUAAUACGGGGGGUGCAAGCGUUAUUCGGAAUUAUUGGGCGUAAAGGGCACGCAGGCGGUCUUGCCAGUCAGAUGUGAAAGCCCGGGGCUCAACCCGGGAAGUGCAUUUGAAACUACAAGACUUGAGUACGGUAGAGGAAAGGGGAAUUCCUGGUGUAGAGGUGAAAUUCGUAGAUAUCAGGAGGAACACCGGUGGCGAAGGCGCCUUUCUGGACCGAAACUGACGCUGAGGUGCGAAGGCGUGGGUAGCGAACAGGAUUAGAUACCCCUGUAGUC
rnacentral:rRNA from 1 species